UCAGUCCACUUAGUAAGAUAUGCCACCAUAGCUCAUUUGCAAACUAAUAAAUUUUAAUUAAAUAUAAUAAUUUUUGAUAAAGCAUUAAAUAUGUGAAUACUGAAUAUUUAAUUUAUAUUGGCAAACAUUUAUUAUGGUUGGUUAUAGCGUACAAAACCAAAUAAAGUGGUUGAAAUACUAUCUUAAAGAUCCUGAAGGAGGUG
rnacentral:lncRNA from 1 species